GACAGCCCGGAGCCAAAGGGGCGGAAGGUCGCCGAGUGCUGGGAGGGGAGGUGGGGCAGCGACUGAGCGCCGCAGGAGCUGGCUGCAACCCAGACGCGGCCCGGGAGCGUCGGGUAUGAGCUAACGGGGCGGGGGUGCGGGGAACGAGCCCAGUCAAGGAGCAGCACCUACCUCCGGGGGUGGAAAUGGGCCGGAAUGGGCCGGAACACCGUCCCGGAAGUGAAACCCCCCGCCCCCUCCUCCGGAGCGAGCGACGUGCCGGAAGGAAAUCAGUCACCCUCACCCCGCCCCACCCCCAGCGCUUUCCUUGCAGGAGCCCCCUCCCCUCAGCCUGUACUCCUCAGGGAGGCGGAGGGCGGGCCUAUCGUGCCCGCGGCAACUCCGCCCUCCGGGCUCUCGGGGGCGUGGCCAGAGGGAAAGUUUUGUGGGCCUGAAGAAGGUGGGGCUUGAGGAGGAGUCUGAGGGCGUGUGAGGGGCGGGGUUUAAGUGGACGCAGCAAGCAGCUUUGCGUCUUGACGUCACGAAGACCUUAUAUACUCGACUCAGCCGCCAUCUCAGCCUUUCGGAGCUGUGCGGCAUUCUGAGCAGGUAUGCAAUUUCCUGAGUAUGUUAUGGCUUCGGGCCUUGGAGGCUGAAGCACUGGAAGCUGGUGGGAUUCCCGGCGCAGCCGGUGAGCUUAGUUCAGGGCACAAGCUGGAAACUUUAGGAGGUUGGUUCUGCGUGUAUUUGUGACAUAAAAUAGCAUUGGGUUUUGGUCUGGACACCAGACAAAGACGACUCAGCAUGCGUGUUCAUGCUAUGAUGAAGGCUAUGUUGGUAGGGACAACUGAGCUUGUUGAUGAAUACCAACGAUUCUGAUGGCAGAGCAUGCUGAGUCACCUCGUGCACGGUUCAACGGGGGUGGAAUGCGAAGCCACGCGGUGUUUCUUUCGCGAUCACCAUGGGAUGAAGGCUUUUGCUAGAGAUUGCCAGCAGGCCUUAGUCACUAACAAAGAGGACGAUUGCUCUUGGGAAGUACCUGGAUUAGAGACUUAUAUGUAACUGCUGGAUAUGUGCAACUCAACAGUGCCUAUGUGGACGGAGUUCUUUGUAAGACAGGUCCAUUUUGUGGAAGUAGAACUACUAAAGAUUAACAUUUUUCUUAGGAAUGGCAGUGUGGACCUCUGUGAUGGGACAUCUUGUGGGAUCUCACAGCCAGUUCUGUGGCAAAGGAGGAUGAAGGCUUACGAGGACUCGUCAGGAAGCUGGAUAACAGAGCGAGCGCAAUGUGCUAGAAUAGAAGACCAGAAAAUGAAAUGGUGGAGUUUGAGGCUGGAUAGACAGUUUGAAAGGUACAAAUAAUGGUUUGAAUAAAGAAAGGUAUUAAUGGGUCACCUCAAGUGAAGGCACUGCAAACACAAUGAUUGGUCAUUCUGAAUUUCCGGUCCUUCAUUCUGAAUUUCAAAGGCUCCUGUGACAAGUGGACAUGCAGUGACUGCACCUUUGUUUCUGAGGUGCCUGGAUGGAGGCUCAAAUAGAAGAUGGUGUCAGAUAUAUUGUGUUAAAAUUUUACCAUUAAAGUGUAUUAUAACAUGAA
rnacentral:lncRNA from 1 species